rnacentral:rRNA from 1 species
AACGGAGGGUGCAAGCGUUGUUCGGAAUUACUGGGCGUAAAGCGCGUGCAGGCGGUUUCUUAAGUUUCGUGUGAAAGCCCAUGGCUCAACCAUGGAACGGCACGGAAAACUGAGAGGCUUGAAUACGGGAGAAGAGGGCGGAAUUCCCAGUGUAGAGGUGAAAUUCGUAGAUAUUGGGAGGAACACCGGUGGCGAAAGCGGCUCUCUAGACCGAUAUUGACGCUCAUACGCGAGAGCGUGGGUAGCAAACAGG